CCGGCGGCGGGCGGACAAAGCGGCGCAGCCUCCCGCUUCCGGUGCACGCGGCCUGCCCGGCCCGCUGUCCCCGCGCCCCGGACCCUCGCACCUCGCCCGGCGUCCGCGUGUGCGCAGCCGGCUCCCACCUGUAGCAGCAGCUUGACCCGCUCGAUCGGGGCCACGGCCGUCUUGGAGAUGGCGGCGGCGAUGCCUCCGGCCAGGAAGUCCUUGGCGAAUGAGAUGGCCUGUUCCGUCAUGGUGGCGUGGCGGGCAACGCAGCGGGAAGAGAGCGGAGGGGAGGCGCGGAGAGCCGGAGGGUGGGCACCGCUGGUCUGCGCUGCCGCCGCCGGGACCGAAAAGACGGCGCGGCCAGCGCGCAGCCGCUAAGGCGCCCACGCCCCGCCCCGCUCCCCCGCGCGCCGCGCCCAUUGGCUGCGCCGCGGCCCAAUCCCCGCCCCUUCCCUCUCGCCUCGCCCCCACGGGCUGCCGGGAGCAGCUCUGCGCCCCGCCCCUCGCCCUCGAGCGCCGCGCCCAUUGGCUGCGCCGCCGCCGACGUCCCUCCCCUUCCCGCGCUCCGCGCCCCGGAGCAUGUAGGGAGUCGGACCCCGCCCAUGCGCCUUGCGGACUGGGGGGCGCGGCGGCCGCCUUGACCUUAUGAAGGUCACGCCGGGCCAGGGGUAUGCGACCGACGGCGGUUGCGUAAGGGGAAGGCCGAGGGUCGCAGAGUCCCACGCCGGAUGUUCAUCCUGCCCCGGCCCCGGCAUCUGACGCUCGGACUCCUGGGCUCGUCCCGGUGAUUCCCGAGUCCCGUCCGCGACCCCCAGUCUAUCUCCGCUGACCAUUGAGGACCGGCUGCGACCCUGGACUCGCCUUAAUGACCCCUGUAGACCCCCGAGUCCCGGGCGCGACCCCAGGGAUCGCCCCGCGGGAGGAGCGACAGUUCGCGGGGUCAGGGCCGGAGUAGGAGGCCGCCCCGAGCCCCCCAGGCCCGGUUUCUCGAGGGCUUGCCUGUCCCCUGCCCGGUAGACCCCGGAUCCGCCCGUAGGAGCGCCCCCGGAGGACCCCACCCUGCCCUGGGGUCCCCCGACCCUGACCCCGAGACUUCGGGCGCACUGGGCGCGCCGGGCACUGGGGGGUCCCUGGGGUCCCUCUCCACCCACCCGGCUGCUUUCCCUGGGCCCUGCCCUCCCGGGGCCCAGUGGGCCUCAGACUCGGGUCCCCAUGCCGGGCCGCGCGCUGCGACGUGGCGGCUCCCAGAGCGACAGGGGUAUGUGUGCUGCCCGCACACGCUCCCUCACGCAUACACCCACGUGCCCAUGCCUAGACAUGUGUCCACACGUGCCCACGCACACCUGCACGCACACGCAGACAGGCACACAUGCUACCCGCAGGAGCACAUCUGCCCCCCUCCCCCCCCAGGAAGGCUUCUGAGACCUAGGUGUUUUGAAAUGCUGUGAACUUUUUAUUGAAUUAUAACUAAAUGGCACAAGUCGUAAGUGUAUCGUUCUGUGAAUUUUCACAAAGUGAGUGCAAUGGUGUCUCAGCACCCAGGUCAAGAAAGGAUCCGUUUCUUGGUGCAAGGAUGCGUCCUUUCAUUUCUUAUUUCCCUCCCGGCCUGUUUCUUCUCUCUCUCUCCCUCUUUCUUCUCUUUGCUCCACCCCCCAUAUUUUCAUGAGGGGUUUUCCUGCAUCCCCUCCAGCCGGUGACGCUGGGUGGAUGGAUGCCAGGGGCGGGCCCACCAGAGCCCAGGGCACCCGGAGCCUGCCAUUCGUUUUCCCGGUCCCCGAUGUCCUUGCAGGGCCUUGCUGUGCCCUCUGCUGACCUCCGUGGAGAAGCAGGAGCCACCUGACUGGGCGUGGAGGUACCCUGUGAUGGUUAUCACUGCCCGCUGGGCCGACAGGGGCCGACCGGGGCCAACCAGCCGAAGCUGGUCCUGCAGGCUCCGGCUCUGAGGCCCUGGAAGGAGGCGCUUCUGUUGGAGAGCCUCUCCAGCCCCGGGGGGAGCGGUUAACCUCUGAGCGAUCCGCUCCCCUCCCCCAGGCAAGGGACACCCCUUCCUGUGCCCCACCUGCAUUCCCAGCGCCCGCCCCCCGCGCAGCACAAGGAGAGUGAGCCGUACAAGGAAGCCAUGGGCCCUUCACUGCUUCCACAAACGUCAUCUGCCGGUUACUCUUGCGACUGGGCGUGUCCCUCGGGCGCGUCCUUGGUUUACGGGCACAGUCGUGGGUCAGAGCCCUGUCUGUAGCAGCCCCCCUGCCCGCAGCCCGCAGGGCUCCCAGUAGCCAGGACUAAGGGGGGGUCGGGUACCACCCCCUCCCCCCGGCCGAGGCAGGCGCUCUGACGCCUCUGGUUACAAGUGCAGUUUCUUCUAGCAAAACCCAGUGUCCAGACGGCUGGCGGCUCCCUGACGGGCCGGAGCGCGGGCGUCCCACGUGCCCUGUACCAGCCCUGCUGCAGCACGGCGCCCUUGGCUGAGGCAGGGUCACCUGCAGGGAUUCACCUCUCCUCCCGCGAUGGGAAGGGGACGGUGAACAGGGUGGGCGUCACCCCAGGUCCACCGCGCAGCGGAUGUGGCCCUGCCAGCAGCCGAGCACCGCCCUGCCCAGGUGAAGGGACGGGGCGGGCAGAGGGGACCCGGGUGGGCGGAGCGCGCUGCUCUGCGCUCCUGCGACCCUAGCUGCAGGUCCACACCGGGGCCCCUCUCCUCUGUCCCUGUCAGGAGAGCUGCCGGCACCCCAUCGCGAUGGCACAGCGCCCUUUACAACCAGUGUUUCAUUUCCUCCCUCCUCUGUCUUUGCCUCACAUGGAGACACAAUUUGUGAUUUUUUUAAAAUUGGAGUCCAUCCAAAAUUACAUACUCGUGUGUGUGUGUAUAUGUUAUAAAUAUAUACUUAUCCAUUUAUAUAUGACAUACAUAGUUUAUA